GGUGCAAAUGAUGAGUCUGUUUUUGACCAAAGCCUGAUUUUUGCUGACUAGUCUUAACUGACUGACUGCACU
ensembl:snoRNA